rnacentral:misc_RNA from 1 species
UUUCCGUAGGUGAACCUGCGGUAGGAUCAUUAAUGAGUUGUCAUGGGGUUCGAUGCUGGCAGCCAAUUUUUGGAUGCAUGUGCUUGCCCUAACAAUCAUCUUCCAAACACCUGUGCACAUUUUUGAGGGAGUCUUGAGUUGGUUGCCGCUCUUGGGUGAUUUUCUCACAUUCCCUUAAAUCAUUAUACGCUAUUAACAAUGUUGAACGUGCUCUGUGCCGCAAGGCUAUUAAUAUAAUACAACUUUUAACAACGGAUCUCUUGGCUCUC